AUGAAAUGAUGACAUGGGCAGCAACAUGGAUGGACCAGGAGAUUAUCAUACUGAGUGAACUCCUCAGGCCCUGUGCUGGACCCUCAGGAGAAAUCAAUAGGCCAGCAUCUCUGUACUUGCAGUAACAAAGGAAACAGUUACUAUUUGUCAUCACCAACAGGAUGAAAAAUAAGUAAUCCUCCCCUUCGCCUUGAACUAGAACAACACAGGAAAUAAAAGACUAGCCACGCAGUCAGAGGCCUGCAGAGCCCUUUCCUGGUGAGGAUGUAAAUCUGAGAUGUGUCCCGGACUCUAACCUGAUCUGCUUUGGAGAAGAUGAUGUAAGAAAAGGCUUAAAGAAACCCAACUCCAGAAGAUGCAAGCCAAGAGGCUUGCUCAGCCGGGACAGAAAGUGCAACGGAUCCAUGCAAGGGGGUCACCCGACCUGAUGGAGAUCAUAGGGCCUUGCCUACCAGGCUUGGACACGGUCUGUUGUGCUCGGCGGGCACAACCAGAGGGCUCACAGUCAAGUGACACGACUGUCUUAUGACCCGAUCCUGGAAAUUGCGGUUAAAUCCCAGAGGCACAUCCCUCAAGGGGGCUCAAAGAGAACCAGCAGGAAAUCUGUGCCGAAGAUCAAAAUCUGGGGUUAAUCACUGGUCUUAAGAAUAGUGUUUUCUUCCAGACAGUGUAAUAGAUCUUCCUAAGAGAUUAAGGCGACAGCUGCAGAGCUGGCCAGGGACCUGCCUGUUUUGCCAGGGCCCAUGGCUGGGUUUUGGGGGUCAUGGCCAGGCUGGGUGGUGGACCUUAGGCAUCAUGCUCACCUUCUGAUUGCUGCUGCUACUGGGUUCUUGCCACCCCACCCAUCCACGGUGCCAGUUAUCCAGACUCUGCCCCUCCCCUACCCACCACCACCCUUCAUUUCUCUAGUUAAUAGUCAGAGAGUAUUGGUUAGGCUGCUUUCAGCUAAAAGUAAUAGACAGUUCUUUUCCUGUUAGCUUAAAGAACGACACUCCACUGUGGGAUAUGCGGAGUGUUUUAGGAUUCGCUCAGUUUGGGGGCUUUAAAUCUGUUUCCCUGUGGGCUCUUUUUGCAUGCUUCAUCCUCAGGCUGGGAGCAACAAGAUGCUGCAGCUGUUUGCAGACCUCAUGUCUGUGCUUGACAGUAUCCAUGAGAAGAAAGCAAAAGUCACUCCUGGAAGCUCUUGAAGAAGACAGAGAAAUGACUUUCCCCUGAGCCCCUAGAUACUCGAAGCCUUAGUUUGUAUGCCAUUGGCCCCAAUUACAUGUGCUCUUUCCUAAAUCAGUCACCAGCAAGAGAGGCAGAGCCCCCCUUGACCAAUCAGGCCACCCUGGUGUGGAGGGCAUCAGUCACAUUCCCCUUGAGGCCCCAUGACUAUAGGGGGAGGGGAGAGACCUGGACAAAACCAAAAAAAGGGAUGGGAAGGGGCUGCUGAGCAGAUGGUUACGGUGUCCUCUGCCAUAGGAUAUGUAUUUAUAAUUUUAAAUAAUAAAGCUGUGGUAAUCAUUA